UGUGGACAGAUGAUUCUCCCACCUACGGAUUUUCCAGGUAACUGUUUGUCUUUGGAGGAAGGAGAUUUGCCUUGAGGAGGCUGUGUACAUGGAAGGAGAGGAAGAUUGGAUUGGUGCUCUGAAGAUAGAGAAGGCUGUGAAUAAAAUCUGCAUUUUGAAGAUAGGGAAGACAAGAAGUCCUGUUCUUCAGGACAAUGGUGGCAGAAUGGGGCACAGAGAAGAGCACUGUCCCCAUUUCUGUGGCACCUGGCCAGCACACCACCACUUCAAGUGUUUUCUGAAUUGGGGACAUGGGAGGAGGGAGUCCAGCAGUACCCUGGGGAGGAGGCCGUCCCCUCUCCCAUGAACCACUGGCACUGGGGGCACUGUGAGCUUGCCCCUAGAGGGUUUGCCAACAGCUGACUUGAAUCACUGCAAAGGAAGGGCAGAGGAUUCCUGCACUUGUGUG
rnacentral:lncRNA from 1 species